ensembl:lncRNA
UUCCCCAGAUGCAGCUUCAGCAAAAAUAACGUGAAAAAUGUAUUUUCUGUUUACCAGGGCAUCAGCCCUUCAACUUCAUUGACGUUGUCGUCCACCACCACUGCUUUCUUCACAAAAACAAUUACCAGAACACUUCCUCUAAAGGAGAAAGUGCACUUAGUUGAUGCGAAAGCCCAGCAUCUGCCAAACGUCAACAAACAGUCUCAAAGAAUAAAAGAUCUGGAGAUCCAACUGCUGCAAGUGGAGUGCGAAGAACUCAAAAAUCAGCUAGGAUGCUUAAGGGAAGGGCUGAUGGGGCAGAAGCCAAGUGAUACGGAGGAAUUAUUGAAACAAUCUCAAAAAGAGCUACUGUGGCUUCAGAGACAGCUGUCCUUUAUCUCAUCAGGUGGCCCUAUGUGUGUUUUGGCAGCUAGCAAGGUGAGUGAUUUUUUUUUUUUUUUUGGUCUUGCUUCACUGUACAAAGUAGAAUUAGAAAGGGGAGGGUUUACCCUCAUCUUCGCUUGUUUUAGUG